CUUCAGUGAUGAUAACGAUGACGAGUCAGAAGGGAUGUCCUGGUGUCAUUGCAGCCUGGUCAGUGCCAUGUUCUGUGGUGCUGUGCUGUGGCUACCUUGGGCAGGAUGUCCUACUCUUUGGAUGAGUUAGAGGCAUUUGUCUGAGAAGG